rnacentral:rRNA from 1 species
CCUACGGGAUGCUGCAGUGAGGAAUAUUGGUCAAUGGGCGCGAGCCUGAACCAGCCAAGUAGCGUGAAGGAUGACUGCCCUACGGGUUGUAAACUUCUUUUAUAAAGGAAUAAAGUGCGGCACGUGUGCCUUUUUGUAUGUACUUUAUGAAUAAGGAUCGGCUAACUCCGUGCCAGCAGCCGCGGUAAUACGGAGGUUCCGAGCGUUAUCCUGAUUUAUUGGGGUUAAAGGGAGCGUAGAUGGGGUGUUAAGUCAGUUGUGAAAGUUUGCGGCUCAACCGUGAAAUUGCAAUUGAUACUGGCAGCCUUGAGUACAGUUGAGGUAGGCGGAAUUCGUGGUGUAGCGGUGAAAUGCUUAGAUAUCACGAAGAACUCCGAUUGCGAAGGCAGCCUACUAAACUGCCACUGACAUUGAUGCUCGAAAGUGUGGGUAUCAAACAGGAUUAGAUACCCUUGUAGUC